CUUCGAGCACCCCUUUCUCCUCAUCCCGCCUCCAGAGCCCUAGGCUCUGGGACUAGAAAGAUCUUUUCCCCGCAGGAAGCAAGAAGAUCACAACCCACCAACCUGAUGCUGUGAUUCACUUGACCGUCACAGCUUCGACUGAAAACCAGCAGGUCUAAAGCCUCGGGUACACGCAGGAAAACUGAGGAAAACUCAGAGGGGUCAGUGACUUCGCUAAGCGGCCGUUAUUUCUCCAACGACACUUACAUUUGAAGCUCACAGAACCAAUGCAUGAAGCCUCCAGUGUGGACCUGACAAAAACUGGUGGAGCCAGGGCUGGCACCCUGCAACUUCUGGCUGUUCCUUGAAGUUAAAAUGACCAUGGAAGUUCCACAUUUUGAACGGAUUCAGGACA